rnacentral:misc_RNA from 1 species
CCGAGUGAGGGCCCCCGGGCCCGACCUCCAACCCUUUGUUGACCAACACCUGUUGCCUCGGGGGCGACCCGGACGCCGACGCGUCGGCCGUCGGGCACCCCGGUGGACCAUUCCAACUCUGUGUCCGUACGACGGAGUACUUUGCGAAUCAAUCA